rnacentral:rRNA from 1 species
AUUGAACGCUGGCGGCAGGCCUAACACAUGCAAGUCGAACGAGUGGCGGACGGGUGAGUAAUGUCUGGGAAACUGCCCGAUGGAGGGGGAUAACUACUGGAAACGGUAGCUAAUACCGCAUACCAUCGGAUGGGCCUAGAUGGGUUUAGCUUGUGGGGGGGGUAACGUCUCACCUGGGCGACGUUCCCUAGCUGGUCUGAGAGGAUGACCAGCCACACUAGAACUGAAACACGGUCCGGACUCCUGCGGGAGGAAGCCGUGGGGAGGAUUACACAAUGGGCGCAAGCCUAAUGCAGCCAUGCCGCGUGUAUGAGAAGGGCCUUCGGGUUGUAAAGUACUUUCAGCGAGGAGGCGUUACUCGAAGAGGAAGCACCGGCUAACUCCGUGCCAGCAGCCGCGGUAAUUC